UCUCAAAGAUAAAGCCUGUGUAAAAACUGCUCACCCAGCAGCUCAGGAGUGCUGCUCUCUGAUCGGAGCAGCACUCCUGAGCAUUUGAUGAUAGUGCCCGGAAUUAAGAACCAUUGGAAUUGUAUGUGUCUCCUUUGUGCCAGUAUAUUUGCUCCGGCCUUGUUGUAUUCUCUUAAGCUGAUCUUGCAAAGCUGUGCCAGUUCCCUGGAUACCAGAGAAAAUAACAUACACCAAGAAGACGAGGCUUCCAAUGGACUCUCAAGCAGGGAAAUGUCAAAGCAUGGAGAAGAUUAUGAUUAGGAGUUCAAAUAGCCAGGAAGGAAGCAUAGCAUCGUAAGUAACUUAGUUUGUGUCUGCAUCCCCAAAGCUGCUUAUCCAAUAUGGCGGAAAAUGGCUACACAGCAUCCUAGAAAACAGGACUUGGGUGGUUUGAGAAUAACCCAUAAUGGAAGUCUUUCAGAGCUUUUCAGGAUCUUGGUUGUUGCACUGAUACACAAUACAUCUUUCUCUUGGAACCAUGUGUUGUGUUCAACGUGAAGUUUCAGAUUGAAUGUAGUAGUUUAGAACAGGUAUUUUAUGAACAAGCAAGCCUCCAUAUCCAUCCAUCAGCUGAACUUAACCUUCUCUAACUGAACAAGGUAACCAACAGUCUUGCUCUUAAGGUUCUAUGCAUCUUAAAGCAACAUAUAUCAUCCUGGGGUGUGCGCACAAAAGGAGAUUGCAGAAUAGAGAGAGAUGCAGGACUGUCACGUGAAAGAUGGAGCAAUCUUAUUUUCUCAUGCUCCCGAGGGAAGGAUCCAAACCAAUGGCUUCAAGUUAAAAGAAAGGAGAUUCCAACUAAACAUCAGGAAGAACUUUCUGGUGGUAAGAGCUGCUUGACAGUGGAAUGGACCCCCUAGGGAGGUGAGGGACUCCCCUUCCUUUGAGGUUUUUAUGCAGAGGUUGGAUGGCCAUCUGUAAUGGAUGCUUGAGUUGAGAUUCCUGCAUUGCAGGGGGUUGGACUAGAUGACCCCGGGGUCCCUUCCAACCCUACAGUGCUAUGAUUCCAUGGUGGAAAUGUGACAAUCUUUUAUGGUGCUGCACAUAGGAGCCAACUCCUAAGGGCUGUGGGGGCUUCGACCCCCCCCACACACACAAUAAAAUAUUUGAGGGGGCCGGGCCCCACAAAGUUUAUGGGCAUUGCCCCUCAAAUGGUGUGUGUGUGUACUGCAUCAUACGAUUGAUUAUGUGUGCCAGGGCUUACCUAAGUUGGCACCCCUGGUGCUGCAAAAUUCUUUGUUGCUUUUGCUGCAAAAGAUUAGCAAAGCUACUUUGGGGGAUUUGUAACCUCAAUCAAAGCAGACGUAUUCCCCUCCCUAAAUACUCCCCAACGAAGGUUGCUUAGCUGUGCUUUCACAGGGCAAUGCUUUGUUUACACAAUAUUAUUGAUUACUGAUUACCACACACAUUUCAUUGUGACACAUAUGCCUUGGGAGCUAACAACUGUUCUGAAAUUAUUAGAACUCCAAUUUAAUUAAAGGCCAGUAUCAAUUAUUGAUCUUCAGCCCAAAUGGCUUUUUCAACAUAUUGAAUUGUUGCCUGGAGUGUACAUGGUUUCUAAUGGACUUAUUAUUUCUUCUCUUAAGUAGAUGAUUUUUUUUUAUUAUUAUUUGCAAAAGACUGACAUGAGACGAUUGGUUUUAUUUCUUUUGUACAGUUACUCUGGUAUUUACCUAGUCCUCAGAACUAUUAUUUUGUUCUUCUUGCAAGGACCAAUAUUCCUUCUGCCCUGCAUCAGGACAGUCUUUCGUGUCAGCUAGUAACACCAUGCUUAUUCUGCCCUGCCCACACCAUCUUCCUGUUGUGACUUUAAAAACUCAAGACAUGUUUUCUUGUAGGAACACAGCACACAUCAUGCCUUCCAGCAUUUCACAUGCUUAGAACAUCCCUUUGCCUAUAGUAAGGCACAUGAUGAAUCCACAUCCCUGCCACUGUUAUAGGUUUUUGAAGGAAAAGACCAUCUGCCUUGACUGAAGAAGGUCCCAUGUUCAGUCCCCACAAUCUCCAGUUAGGGGUGGAUGUGCAAUGGAACUUCCUGUCAGGGACUGGGCAGAGGAGGAAUGGUGAGACCACCCCCCCAGCCUGAACCUUCCAACGAGGAGGAAGAAGAAGGCAGUUUAGAUUUACAAAGGGGUUUGCGGGAGGUCAUAGCUCAGAGGCAGAUAAGGGGGAAAGUUGGGAGAUCAUGGGAGAGAGGAGGAGGAGGAGGAAGCAGGGCGACAGCUGAUGGACACAGUGUUGUCAGGUGUGCGUGCAGGAGCCAGGCCCUGUGACGAAUAGGACCCUGCAGGACUGGGGCCUUCCUAAGUUUGAUCUGAAGAGGCAAGGCGCAGCCACACAGGUGAGGCCGAUUGGUAACUCACAGCACCUGGUGGCCAGAGCCGGGAUGGGAUAUAAGGUCAGCAUUUUCCCCUCGGCUCUUUGCCACAGCAACACGUUCCCUGCCUUGCUGAGUUUGACUCCUUGAAUCCUUGCUUCUUGAUCCUCAGACCCCUGAUUUCGUGACUCCUUGCUUCUUGAUCCUCAGACCCCUGACUUCGUGACUCCUUGCUUCUUGAUCCUCGGACCCCUGACUUCGUGACUCCUUGCUUCCUGACCCUUGGACCAUUGGCUUCUUGACUCCCGGCUCUCUGACCCUCGGCUCUUGGCUUUCUGACUCCUGGCUUCUUCCGUUCCUGCUCCCACCCCGCCAUCUUGCCUCUGGUCCCGAAGUCCCCAGCCAGGACGUCGAUCACCUGUGAACAGGACCGUGACAAGUCUCUUUAGAAAGCUUUCCAGACCCACCCACCCCCCCAGAACCCAGCGAGCCUUGAAAGUAGGAGAGCAAAGAACUCAAAGACAGAAGGCACGUAGCAGCUCCCGUAGAAGUGACAAUGAGGAAAUGAGAGAGACAGGGGAGUGGAGAUUCACUCGGGGCAACGCCAUUAUCCAAGAGUCUGGGUUCUAUAGCCUCUCUCUGUAAUUAUUCAAUAAAAAAGGAAGGUAAGAAACCUUCCCUUGUCUUUAUACUUUUCCAGGCAAUCAGCUAGGAGCU